GACGAACGCUGGCGGCGUGCCUAAUACAUGCAAGUUGAGCGAUGAAGAUUGGUGCUUGCACCAAUUUGAAGAGCAGCGAACGGGUGAGUAACGCGUGGGGAAUCUGCCUUUGAGCGGGGGACAACAUUUGGAAACGAAUGCUAAUACCGCAUAACAACUUUAAACAUAAGUUUUAAGUUUGAAAGAUGCAAUUGCAUCACUCAAAGAUGAUCCCGCGUUGUAUUAGCUAGUUGGUGAGGUAAAGGCUCACCAAGGCGAUGAUACAUAGCCGACCUGAGAGGGUGAUCGGCCACAUUGGGACUGAGACACGGCCCAAACUCCUACGGGAGGCAGCAGUAGGGAAUCUUCGGCAAUGGACGAAAGUCUGACCGAGCAACGCCGCGUGAGUGAAGAAGGGUUUCGGAUCGUAAAACUCUGUUGGUAGAGAAGAACGUUGGUGAGAGUGGAAUGCUCAUCAAGUGACGGUAACUACCCAGAAAGGGACGGCUAACUACGUG
rnacentral:rRNA from 1 species